AAUGUUAAGUUACAAUAUAUUUUCUAUGAAUUUAUGUUAUGGAAAAAGAAAAAAAAAUAUACAAAUUGGCCAGGUUCAUAGAGCCUCUUUGGUUUGACAGAGCUCUUCCCACAGGCUUGUUUUGGAGUGGAGGUGGACAGGAGAAGCUGUGUUGGAUGGAGGUGGUACAGGAGAAGCUGUGUUGGAGUGGAGGUGGUACAGGAGAAGGCUGUGUUGGAGUGGAGGUGGUACAGGAGAAGCUGUGUUGGAGUGGAGGUGGUACAGGAGAAGCUGUGUUGGAGUGGAGGUGGUACAGGAGAAGCUGUGUUGGAGUGGAGGUGGUACAGGAGAAGCUGUGUUGGAAUGGAGGUGGACAGGAAAGCUGUAAUGGAGUGGAGGUGGUACAGGAGAGCUAUUUUGGAGUGGAGGUGGUCAUGAAGGCUGUGUUGGAAUGGAGGUGGUACGGAGAAGCUAUUUUGGAGUGGAGGUGGUACAGGAGAGGCUGUCUGGUCAUCAAGCCUCAGAUUGUGCACACACACAGGCGACGAGAGGAGAUGACUUGAGGAGGACGAGCAGCGGGGCACCUCUCCUCCUUUUCCCCCUCCGCUCUCAUCUGUCCCCGGAGGAAGUUGCUGAGCAGACAAACCUUCGCCUGAGGAGCACAAUUGAGUUUUAAUCUCUUGACCCUGCAGCAGCGGAACAGCCAGCCAGCUCCCUCCCUCCCUCAUGAAGACAGAUGCCUGUAGCGGUGAUGCUGCUAGCUGAGGUCUGACAAGGUGAUGCCUCCUGCUCCAUUACACACACCAUGGACAUUAUUAUACAAGAGACACGUGUGUGAGCGCACCGCCAUGUGCCAAACACACACACACCUCACAUGUACACACCGCACUGUCUAGCCCUGUCCUCGAGCUGAAAGAUGUCGUGACGCACCCACGGAACGCUGACACAAACAAAGGAGCAAUGUCAGACAGAUGUAAGACUGGGGGCCUGAUCCUGUGACACGGGAACAAGCAGCAGCCGGGUGACAGGACCAGCCUGGGUGACAGGACCAGCCUGGGUGACAGGACCAGCCUACCAGCCUGGGGACAGGACCAUCUGGGUGACGGACCAGUCUGGGGGACAGGACCAGUCUGUGGGUGACAGGACCAGCCUACCAGCCUGGGUGACAGGACCACUGGGACAGGACAGCCUACCGCCGUGUGACAGGCAUCCUGGGUGCAGACCAGCCUACCAGCCUGGGUGACAGGACCAGCCUGGGUGACAGGACCACCGGGUACAGCCAGACCCAGCCUGGGUACAGGACCAGCCUGGGUGACAGGACCCCUACCAGCCUAGGGGACAGGACCAGCCUGGGUGACAGGACGCUGUGGGACGGACCAGCCGGGUGACAGGACCAGCCCUGGGCGACAGGACCAGCCUACCAGCCUAAGUGACAGGACCACCUGGCGACAGGACCAGCCUACCAGCCUAGGGACAGGACCAGCCUGGGCGACAGGACCAGCCUGGGCGACAGGACCAGCCUGGGCGACAUGACAGCCUGGCACAGGACCAGCCUGACCAGCCUAGGUGACCAGGACAGCCUGGGCGACAGGACCAGCCUGGGCGACAGGACCAGCCGGGCGACAAGACCAGCCUGGGCGACAGACCAGCCUGGGUGACAGGACCAGCCUACCAGCCUAGUUGACAGGACCACCUGGGUGACGGACCGCCUGGGUGACAGGAACAGCCUGGGUGACAGGACCAGCCUACCCAGCCUAAGUGACCAGACCAGCCUAGGUGACAGGACCAGCCUGGGCGACAGGACCAGCCCUGGCGACAGGACCAGCCUGGGCGACAGACGCCUGGGCGGACAAGACCCAGCCUGGGCGACAGGACCGCUACCAGCCAGUGACAGGACCGUGGGGACAGACCAUCGGCGACAGGACCAGCCUGGGCGAACAGACCAGCCUGGCGACAGGACCAGCCUGGGCGACAGGACCACCCUGGGCGACAGGACCCAGACGACAGCCUAGGCGACAGGACCAGCCUACCAGCCUAGGCGACAGGACCAGCCUACCAGCCUAGGCGACAGGACCCCUACCAGUCCUAGGCGGACAGGACCAGCCUGGGCGACAGGACCAGCCUGGCGACAGGACCAGCCU
rnacentral:lncRNA from 1 species